GACGAACGCUGGCGGCGUGCUUAACACAUGCAAGUCGAACGGUAAGGCUCCAGCUUGCUGGGGUACACGAGUGGCGAACGGGUGAGUAACACGUGGGUGACCUGCCCUGCACUUCGGGAUAAGCCUGGGAAACUGGGUCUAAUACCGGAUAGGACCGCACCGUGAGGGUGUGGUGGAAAGUUUUUUCGGUGUGGGAUGGGCCCGCGGCCUAUCAGCUUGUUGGUGGGGUAAUGGCCUACCAAGGCGGCGACGGGUAGCCGGCCUGAGAGGGUGGACGGCCACAUUGGGACUGAGACACGGCCCAGACUCCUACGGGAGGCAGCAGUGGGGAAUAUUGCACAAUGGGCGGAAGCCUGAUGCAGCGACGCCGCGUGGGGGAUGACGGCCUUCGGGUUGUAAACUCCUUUCACCAUCGACGAAGGGUUUCUGACGGUAGAUGGAGAAGAAGCACCGGCUAACUACGUGCCAGCAGCCGCGGUAAUACGUAGGGUGCGAGCGUUGUCCGGAAUUACUGGGCGUAAAGAGCUCGUAGGUGGUUUGUCGCGUCGUCUGUGAAAUUCCGGGGCUUAACUCCGGGCGUGCAGGCGAUACGGGCAUAACUUGAGUACUGUAGGGGAGACUGGAAUUCCUGGUGUAGCGGUGAAAUGCGCAGAUAUCAGGAGGAACACCGGUGGCGAAGGCGGGUCUCCGGGCAGUAACUGACGCUGAGGAGCGAAAGCAUGGGGAGCGAACAGGAUUAGAUACCCUGGUAGUCCAUGCCGUAAACGGUGGGCGCUAGGUGUGGGUUUCCUUCCACGGGAUCCGUGCCGUAGCUAACGCAUUAAGCGCCCCGCCUGGGGAGUACGGCCGCAAGGCUAAAACUCAAAGGAAUUGACGGGGGCCCGCACAAGCGGCGGAGCAUGUGGAUUAAUUCGAUGCAACGCGAAGAACCUUACCUGGGCUUGACAUAUACAGGAUCGCGCCAGAGAUGGUGUUUCCCUUGUGGCUUGUAUACAGGUGGUGCAUGGUUGUCGUCAGCUCGUGUCGUGAGAUGUUGGGUUAAGUCCCGCAACGAGCGCAACCCUUGUCUUAUGUUGCCAGCACGUUGUGGUGGGGACUCGUAAGAAACUGCCGGGGUUAACUCGGAGGAAGGUGGGGAUGACGUCAAAUCAUCAUGCCCCUUAUGUCCAGGGCUUCACACAUGCUACAAUGGUCGGUACAGUGGGUUGCCAGUCCGUGAGGGCGAGCUAAUCCCGCAAAGCCGGUCUCAGUUCGGAUCGGGGUCUGCAACUCGACCCCGUGAAGUCGGAGUCGCUAGUAAUCGCAGAUCAGCAACGCUGCGGUGAAUACGUUCCCGGGCCU
rnacentral:rRNA from 1 species